rnacentral:lncRNA from 1 species
UUACCCUAGUAUAGAUGAGGGAUCUGAAAAGAAGCCAGAAUGUUAGCAAGGAUGAAUGUGAAAGAGCCUCACUCUAAAAUCGCCUGACCCUGUAAAUUCAAAAGGACAGAAUGAAGAAGAAAGGGAAGCACUUAGAGAUGUCUACACAGAAAGAGGGGAGAUGGGAUAAAAGGGGGGAUUGAGAUCACUCAUUCAGAAGAACAUCAAAACACCAAAGCACUACACAA